UAGAUAGUAAUUACCUGCACCAUAUUCCGUUUUAGUAGUGAUUCUCAGUUUGUAACAUGAAUUUGUGACUUGAAGACUGAAGAAUCUAAAUGUUACAAUGGGAAAUAUAAUGAAUGGAGAUAAUUCUGUUAUUUUUGCUACAAAAUCGCUGAAGAAUAAUAUCUAAAACGUCGAAUAUUUCUAGUGAUCCAGACUUCUUCAAGACGUUUUUUCUUGCUUUAUUUCGUUUCCUAUUUGGAACUUCGGCGCAUCUAUCCUGCGAUAUUCGAGAUGUGAUUUCAUUUGUUUACGCAGAUGAUCCAAUAACAAAGACUUCCACAGGCAUAAGGUAGUGAAAAAUCUUCCAGGGACAGUUGUGGAUGGUGUUAACAAUCGAAUCCCUUAAAUGGUUUUUGGGCGAACAUCUAACAGCAUCAUGCAAAAUGGAAAAGUAAUUCCAGACCGUCCUCAAAGUUCGAAACAGGAGCACCAAGGAGAAGAAAGCAAAGUUGAGAUGGAGGAGUCGGUAAUCGAUUGGGUCCAAUAAAUGCAGACAGCUGUAGUCGGACGCAAGUCCAACUCUAAAUCUGGCAACAGGAAUUGAAGAGGAUUCGGAUAGUGAGCGUUUCUCAGAGCCAAUAACAAUCGCCUUUAGGGAAGUCCAAGUUCAGGAUGCUCUUAGUUUCAUUCACCCAAAUAAAAAUAGAUUUAUUCAUACAUUUAUCUUUUAAAAUGUUUGUCACAUUUUGCAUUCUCAAAGGCAAACUGACAGGAACUCAA